rnacentral:ncRNA from 1 species
UGAUAUUCAUCAGACCCCAGAAAACAUACUGAUUGAUCAAGAUGGCAGGAUGAUGUCUGUGCAAGUCAGAACAUACCAGGGAAUGAGUAAUGACUCACCUGUGGAGUUACUUUACACAUAAAAUGGAUGGUCCUGGAAUAUCA